AUACGGGAGGCAGCAGUGGGGAAUAUUGCACAAUGGGCGAAAGCCUGAUGCAGCAACGCCGCGUGAGUGAUGAAGGUCUUCGGAUUGUAAAGCUCUGUCUUUUGGGACGAUAAUGACGGUACCAAAGGAGGAAGCCACGGCUAACUACGUGCCAGCAGCCGCGGUAAUACGUAGGUGGCAAGCGUUGUCCGGAUUUACUGGGCGUAAAGAAUGCGUAGGCGGAUAUUUAAGUGGGAUGUGAAAUACCCGGGCUCAACUUGGGUGCUGCAUUCCAAACUGGAUAUCUAGAGUGCGGGAGAGGAGAGUGGAAUUCCUAGUGUAGCGGUGAAAUGCGUAGAGAUUAGGAAGAACACCAGUGGCGAAGGCGACUCUCUGGACCGUAACUGACGCUGAGGCAUGAAAGCGUGGGGAGCAAACAGGAUUAGAUACCCUGGUAGU
rnacentral:rRNA from 1 species